CCGCACAAGCGGUGGAGCAUGUGGUUAAUUCGAAGCAACGCGAAGACCUUACCAGGUCUUGACAUCCCGAUGCUAUUUCUAGAGAUAGAAAGUUACUUCGGUACAUCGGUGACAGGUGGUGCAUGGUUGUCGUCAGCUCGUGUCGUGAGAUGUUGGGUUAAGUCCCGCAACGAGCGCAACCCCUAUUGUUAGUUGCCAUCAUUCAGUUGGGCACUCUAGCGAGACUGCCGGUAAUAAACCGGAGGAAGUGGGGAUGACGUCAAAUCAUCAUGCCCCUUAUGACCUGGGCUACACACGUGCUACAAUGGUUGGUACAACGAGUUGCGAGUCGGUGACGGCGAGCUAAUCUCUUAAAGCCAAUCUCAGUUCGGAUUGUAGGCUGCAACUCGCCUACAUGAAGUCGGAAUCGCUAGUAAUCGCGGAUCAGCACGCCGCGGUGAAUACGUUCCCGGGCCUU
rnacentral:rRNA from 1 species